UGCCGGAUGGACGAUUAGGUAAGUCGCCAUGACUCUGAAUCAUGGAGAGGUUAGUUCAAACCUAAUUUCGGCAUC
rnacentral:tRNA from 2 species